CUCCUAGUAGUUUAUUCAAAAUAUUAGUUUUGCGUACUAAAGAUGGUGAGGACCCUUGGUGG
rnacentral:tRNA from 1 species